rnacentral:rRNA from 1 species
GGUCUCACUGACUCCUCCUUCCUGGUGAACCUUAAUGCCAUUAAUUUGGUGUUUUGGGGAAUUUGGACUGUUACUUUGAAAAAAUUAGAGUGUUUAAAGCAAGCUAACGCUUGAAUACAUUAGCAUGGAAUAAUGAAAUAGGACGUUCGACCCUAUUUUGUUGGUUUCUAGGAUUGACGUAAUGAUUAAU